ensembl:lncRNA
GGAAAAGUUACUGCUCUUUACAAAACUGUCUUUUUUUUCUUUAUGAGUAGAGAUUUUUUCUACAUAGAUUACUUGAUUUACUAGAUUUAGAAGAAUCAUAGAUACAGAGUUCCUUAAAGAAGCCUCAAUUUUGAGGAUCAUAAAAAUUAUGCCUUUGGGCAUGUUUAUAAACAAUUGAAAAACUAAGGAGGUGACUGUACAAGAGGAAACAAAGCGUAAGAUGGUGGCUAGAGCGUGGUUCCGCUGAAUGGACCACAAAGAGAAUAAGCCAAUAGUCCUUUCAGAAGCCACAGUUUAAAUGGCUCGCAGUGGAAGGUGGUCUGAAGGGAAACGCUCAUCCAGGGCAGGUGGCAUGCUCAUCCAGCUCUGUGCAGCUCUUGAGACUGAAGGGGCCUUCCCAGGGAUCCGGGAAUGGGAACACGACCGCCUUAUUCAUGAGUGCAUCAGAGAACGUUUCUCUGCAGCUUGAGAAACUGGGCUAAAUGAUUGAAAAUACGAUAUCUCGGAUGUAUAGAAUUUGAGUAUUACCCAUUUUAUCUUUCCACUGCUUUCCGAUAAGGAGUAACAUUUCUUCUAUUUUCCAGGCGACAAGGAGUCUUUACAUUUAUGCACCAGCUAUGUCAGGACCUUUGUGAAUAUUAACCUACAAAAUGAAGAUUUAAUAUGCCUUAUUUUUGCGAAACACACCUUAUGUUAUAGUUGAAGAAACAGUGGCAUUUUUUUUUUUUUGCACUAAGUAGCAGCCCAUUUCUGAAGGAUUACGAAGAUGUCAUUAUAAUCCAUACUUUGAACAAAAAAAGCACUUUUAAAAUUCAUCAUGUGUCCAAUCCAAUUGAUUUGGUUUUCUACGGACCUGGCUUGAGCAUGACCCAAUUAUUUUUAUUUGGUACUGAUUCACUCAUUGAUUCCCUGGUGGCAAAUUCAGCAGAGGAGUGGCUGUUCCAAACAAAUCCUCGACACUGAGCUCGUCUUCCCCAUCAUGGGAAGACCCCAUCACCCUGAGCAGUGUCCCGGUUCAGUGGCAACAGACAGACCCCAGGACUGUCAGUACAUUGCAUUCCAUGAGCAUCAACUAUUUUGAAAGACAUUUAAAAAUGGAAAGUAAAUGAUUGGCCUGUGAGCCCUCGCUCAUACGUUACUUACGUUUCCUUCUCUAUGGAAUUCUUUGUACAGCAACAGCAGGCCUGAUAACCAUGUUCUUUACAACAAUAUGGGCUUCUAUUUUUGUCACUGACUAGCAAAUGGACAUCACUUUGAGCUCUUUAUGUUUAAGGACUUUGUCGUUUUCCAUGUUCUGCUGCUCUUCUGGAAAUCUGAGUAGAUUCUGAUCUUUCUGCUCAGAUACGUACAACUUAUGCUUGGCAACUUCAGAAUGCUCUGCUAGCAUUAACAGAUGUACAUGAUAAUAAACGGAUUAUUGUAUGAAGAUUACAAAGAGGAAAAUGUGCAUUAAUAGUUAUUUGUUGUAAUAUUUCUUGCUUUCAUGGUCAUCUCAGAAAGACUGGUUUCAACGAUUAAAAGAUGUUCUUCCUUAAAUUCCUAUGCUUUGCCUAGUUCCU